rnacentral:lncRNA from 1 species
UAUGAUUAAGAGAAUUCAAACAAAAAUGUCUUCCCAAGGGAGUAUUCCCAUAAAUUCAAACUCAACAACAAAUUCUGAUUUUGAUCCCAAUUUUUCUUAUUUUCUUAUUUUUCAACAUCCACACAACCAUGAGCUCUCUUUUUGUUUUUUUUCUUUCUUUUCUUUUUCUUUGCUCCAUAAUUUCAAAGGUGACUUAUUUUUCUUGUUUCUUUUCAC